UACAGAGGGUGCAAGCGUUUAAUCGGAAUUACUGGGCGUAAAGGGUGCGUAGGUGGUUAGAUAAGUUAAGUGUGAAAGCCCCGGGCUUAACCUGGGAAUUGCGCUUAAUACUGUUUGGCUAGAGUACUGUAGAGGGAAGUGGAAUUUCCGGUGUAGCGGUGGAAUGCGCAGAUAUCAGGAGGAACACCGGUGGCGAAGGCGGGUCUCUGGGCCGAUACUGACGCUGAGGAGCGAAAAGCUGGGGGAGCGAACAGG
rnacentral:rRNA from 1 species